ACAUUAAUUCAGAUGCUAGCAAUUGAGACUCUCCAUGAUAUUAUACCGGGUACAUUUAUAGAACAAUCUGGUCCUGGUCUUUUCCAAUUAUCAAUGUGCCUCGGUCCCAAUCAUUCUUAGCUUUGGCUUAAUAAAGCCAAGGUCUGCCCAAUAAAAUGAAAUAUGAUAAGGUAGAACUCUGUAAUUGAAAUACAAAAUAAUCAAUUUUG
rnacentral:lncRNA from 1 species